rnacentral:rRNA from 1 species
UACAGAGGUCUCAAGCGUUGUUCGGAUUCAUUGGGCGUAAAGGGUGCGUAGGCGGCGCGGUAAGUCGGGUGUGAAAUCUUGGAGCUUAACUCCGAAACUGCAUUCGAUACUGCGGUGCUUGAGGACUGGAGAGGAGACUGGAAUUCAUGGUGUAGCAGUGAAAUGCGUAGAGAUCAUGAGGAAGACCAGUGGCGAAGGCGGGUCUCUGGACAGUUCCUGACACUGAGGCACGAAGGCCAGGGGAGCAAACGGG